rnacentral:tRNA from 1 species
GGGUAUGGCUCAGUGGUAGAGCGUGUGCUUAGUAUGCACGAGGUCCUGGGUUCGAUCUCCCGUACUUCCA